rnacentral:miRNA from 1 species
ACAGCUCAUUAAACUGCCUCU